AGUCGAACGGAAACAUGUCUAGCUUGCUAGAUGAUGUCGAGUGGCGGACGGGUGAGUAAUGCUUGGGAACUUGCCUUUGCGAGGGGGAUAACAGUUGGAAACGACUGCUAAUACCGCAUAAUGUCUUCGGACCAAACGGGGCUUCGGCUCCGGCGCAAAGAGAGGCCCAAGUGAGAUUAGCUAGUUGGUGAGGUAAAGGCUCACCAAGGCAACGAUCUCUAGCUGUUCUGAGAGGAAGAUCAGCCACACUGGGACUGAGACACGGCCCAGACUCCUACGGGAGGCAGCAGUGGGGAAUAUUGCACAAUGGGGGAAACCCUGAUGCAGCCAUGCCGCGUGUGUGAAGAAGGCCUUCGGGUUGUAAAGCACUUUCAGUUGUGAGGAAAAGUUAGUAGUUAAUACCUGCUAGCCGUGACGUUAACAACAGAAGAAGCACCGGCUAACUCCGUGCCAGCAGCCGCGGUAAUACGGAGGGUGCGAGCGUUAAUCGGAAUUACUGGGCGUAAAGCGCACGCAGGCGGUUUGUUAAGCUAGAUGUGAAAGCCCCGGGCUCAACCUGGGACGGUCAUUUAGAACUGGCAGACUAGAGUCUUGGAGAGGGGAGUGGAAUUCCAGGUGUAGCGGUGAAAUGCGUAGAUAUCUGGAGGAACAUCAGUGGCGAAGGCGACUCCCUGGCCGAAGACUGACGCUCAUGUGCGAAAGUGUGGGUAGCGAACAGGAUUAGAUACCCUGGUAGUCCACACCGUA
rnacentral:rRNA from 1 species